GUUGGAGGUGUUGUGGAUAGUGUGGAGGGCUGUCAGAGAUUACAGUGGGACAUUGAUAGGAUGCAAAAUUAGGUUGAGAAGCGGCAGAUGGAGUUCAACCCAGAUAAGAGUGAAGUGGUUCAUUUUGGUAGGUCCAAUAUGAUGGCAGAAUAUACUAUUAAUUAUAAGACUCCUGUCAGUGUGGAAAAUCGGGGGCGAGUCCAUCGGACACUCAAAGCAGCUGCGCAGGCUGACUCUGUGGUUAAGAAGGCAUACGGUGUAUUGGCCUUCGUUAAUCAUGAAAUUGAAUUUAGGAGCCAGAAGAUAAUGUUGCAGCCAUCUAGGACCCUGGUCAGACCCCACUUGGAGUACUGUGCUCAUUUCUGGUCAGCGCACUACAGGAAGGAUGUGGAAGCCGUAGAAAGGGUGCAGAGGAGAUUUACAACAAUGUUACCUCGAUUGGGGAGCAUGCCUUAUGAAAAUAGUUUGAGUGAACUUGGCCUUUUCUCCUUCGAGCAACAGAGGGUGAGAGGUGACCUGAUAGAGGUGUAUAAGAUGAUGAGAGGUAUUGUUCAUGUAGAUAGUCAGAAGCUUUUUCCCAGAACUGAAAUGUUUGCCACAAGAGGACACAGGAUUACGAUGCUGGGGAGUAGGUACAGAGGAAACAUCAGGAGUAAGUUUUUUACUCAGAGAGUGUGAGUGCGUGGAAUGGGCAGCUGUGCCUCUAUCUGAGUGAUAGAGGCUGAUACGUUAGGUUCUUUUAAAAGAUGUUUGGAUAGGUACAUGGAGGUUAGAAAAAUAGAGAGCUAUAGGUAAGGCUAGUAAUUUCUAAGGUAGGGACAUAUUUGACACAACUUUGUCUGUUGAAGAGCCUGUAAUGUGCUGUAGGUUUUCUAUGUUUCUAUUAUUAAACAGUCCAAGAAUCUCCACACACCAACAAUACCAGCUGCUAACUCCUCUCUGUAGAUCACAUUAGUGUGUGAUACAUUCUUUUCCCCAAUUCCACCACCAAGACUAUAUCUCUGGGAUGUUACAGAAGUUACUCUGUCUCCAUUUGUUCUAACCAGUAACAAUCCAGUGUUACAGCUAGCACUGUCUGGCGUGAUAAGAGGGAGCACAACCACAGCCUGAAAUCUUGUCCCUACACUGAGAAACUGAUCGAGUUCCCAGCUGGGCAGAAUCUGAGGAGUGCUAUAGAAAACUUCUAUCUAUUCACUGGGAUGUUGACUGCUUACACAUCCCCCACUUCUCAAAUUUGUCUUCAGGCAGGUGGUGGCAAUCAGCUUUCUUUAGUCCCUGUCUUUCCAUAGCAGACUUGACACAGUUGACUGCCUUGUGGUGCCAUUUUCCUGCUAAUCUGUCACCAAAAACUGACAAUCACCGGGCAUUUGAGACAUUAACUGCUGCCAUCACCAAGCAAGAAACUGUCCACCACAAUCAUUGUCAGGAAUUUCAACCAGGCUUAUUUGAAGAAAUCUCUGCCCAGUGAUCGCCAGCAUUUAACCUGCAGCACCAGGGGUCCCAACCACUGUUACACUACGAUUAGGAAAGCCUACUGUUCCAUGCCUAGACCACAUUUUGAGAAAUCUGAUCACUUGGUUGUCCUUCUCCUACCUGCAUACGGGCAAAGCACCAGUGAUAAGCACAACAAAGAGUUGGUCGCAUGAGGCAAAGGUGUGGCUAUGGGAUUGCUUCUAGUCAGUGGACUGGGCCAUGUUCAAGGACUCAUCAAAAGAUCUGAAUGAAUGAACGGUGGUCACGGAGUUUAUUAAAACAAUUGUAGAUCGGCAUGUCCCCAUAAAAUCACUCCGAGUUUUCCCCAAUCAGAAAUGCUGGAUGAACUUUGAGAUCCACAAUCUGCUGAGGGCUACUGUAGACCAGUGGCACUCAGGUCUGGUAACCUAAUAAGUACAAGGUGUACAGAUGAAGUUGUAAAUGCGGGCUCACUUUUAAAAUUUAAGAAAAACUUGGACAUGUACAUGGUUGAGAGGUAUAUGGAGGGAUAUGGGCUAGGUGCAUGACAGUGAGACUAGGCAGAGAAAAGGUUCGGCACAGCCAGGAAGGGCCAAAAGGCCUGUUUCUGUGCUGUAAUGUUCUAUGGUUCUGUAAAUGUAUGGACUGCUCUUUCAGAAAAGGCAACAGAUGGGGGACUGUGUUUCAUGAUAAAUUCUUUGUGGUACUUGGACACAAUGGCCUUGUCAGACUCUUAUUCCUCUGACCUGGAACAUCUAAGAUCUCUUAAAUGUUGAAAUUGAGCUUGCAUGCACCACUUGUUCUGUCAGCUCAUUCCACACUCUCACGGCCCUCUGGGUGAAGACGUUCUUCUUAGACUUUUCACCUUUCACCUUUAACCCAUGUCCCACCCAACCUCAGUCGAAAAAGCCUACUUAAAUUAACCCUAUUUAUACCCUUCAUAAUGUUGUAUGUCAAAUCUCCUCUUGAUCUUCUGCAUUCGAAGGAAUAAAGUCCUAACCAAUUCAAUCUUUUCUCAUAACUCAGGUCCUCCAGGUUCAGCAACAUGCUUGUAAAUUUUCUCUGCACUCUUUCAGCCUUGUUUACAUCUUACCUGUAGGCAGGUGACCAAAACUGUACACAAUACUCAAAAUUAGGCCUCACCAACGUCUUAUGCAAUUUCAACAUAACAUCCCAUCUCUUGUACUGAAUACAUUGAUUUUUGAAGGGCAACAUGCAAAAGCUUUCUUUAUGGCCCUAUCUAUCCAUGAUAGCACUUUCAACAAAUUACGGAUUUGCAUUUGCAGAUCUCUUUUGUUCUAUUGCACUCCUCAUUGCUCGACCAAUCACUGUGUAAGAUUGGUCCAGCCUAAGUGGAAAACCUCAUACUGGUCUGCAUUAAAUUCCAUCUUCAGUAGGAAGUCUCUUGAUGCUCAUUACUAAUUUCCAUACUAUUCUCACUUCCAUACGAUCCAUCUGGUUUAUAUGUGCUCUUCCUCACAAAAUACAACACAUCACACUUCUGAGCGUCCAUUGCCCAUUCCUCUAUCCAGUUUUUGAUGUCCAUUAUUGUCUACUUCAUGAUUCAGAAUACAUCGAAGUUUUACACCAUCUGUAUAUUUUGAAAAUAUGAUCUAUUUUUUCCCUCACAUUUUGUGCUAAUUUAAUUAUUUUUUAUAUAUACUCACUGUAAUUUACAGUUUUUAUUUUAUAUUUACUAUUUUUUUUAUUAUAUUAACCUUGAUGAAAAUCCUAUAAUUGAAUAUAGAGUAAUAUAGCAUGGAAAUAGGCCCAUGUCAUUCAUGCCAACCAAGAUGUGUGUCUAAGUUACUCCUAUUUGCAAAUUUAGCACAUUAAAAAAUAAUCAGUGAUUAUCUGACCUCAUCAAAAACUGUAUCAGAUUAAUUAGACACCAUUAGUCUUUAACAAAGGAUGUUUCUAAACAAUCCACACUUGUCCCAGUGAUUACUAAUUCUAUACCUUUUCCACCACCUUCUCCAUUUCAAAGCUAAAAUACUUUUCAUUUUCUUUAAAAUGGCUGAUUUACUUUCUCCAAGUUUUGCACAACUGCACACACAGUUUGUAUGGGUGAUUUUUGAUGUUACAAUGUCCGGAGAUGGUCACACAAUCUGAUAAAGACCAAAUGGUCUCAAUAGCCUAAAACAUUGCCCCACUUGUGAUUGAGAUGAUAUUUCCUGUUUCUUCUACACUAACGCUGAAUAUCCUUGGAUGGUCAGUCAGGCGAUGCCCAUUCUAUGUUGAACAUGCAACAAUUCCAGCUUUUGCUAAACUCGUGAGAUUAAUAAACCAUUUCCUCCCCACAGAAUCGCUUUCUGCUGCAAUUCUCCUGGACAAUUUACAACAGGCUGUGGAUCUUCUGCACUGGAUUUCUCUUUCCCUUUCCAGUGUGUUGUUUCUCACUUCUAUAAACAACAAAUGGGACAAUGAGGAAUAUUAUUGGAAAAGCCACAGGCAAUCACAAAGAACAUUCUUGCUGGUUUGUUACAUGACGUGGAACUCUGUCACUCUGAAGUUCCAAGUUGGUGUUUUAGAUGUUCCAAGAUGGUGCUGAAAAGUGCAAGCUCCAAAGGGAAUCAUCAAAAGUUUCCACUUAGGACUAUUACAGCUGAAAACCACAGUCACAGACAUGGGUUCUUCAGUAAGCAACAUUGUUUUGAAGUGUUUUAAAAAAUCUAUCGAUCCUCAUGAUCGGCAGACUCUGGACUGCAGAUUUGGGUGACAAGUGCAGUUUCCCUUUAAGAAAAGGGUGAUGAGGUAGGGGUACUGUGCGGCAAGUAAGAUGGAAGCACAAGACCCUGAGGCCUCCACUUCCUAACAUCUUGUCGGCAAUGUCAGUACACCUUUCAACAGGGAUUAUGUCACUAUGAUGUACCUGAUCAGGCUCAGAAAACCUGUGCCAAUCAACUGGCAGGAAUGUUCAAGGACAUCUUCAAUUUCUCACCGGUACAGUCAGAGGUUUCCACCUGCCUCAUAAGGGUUCAAUCAUACCAGUGCCCAAGAAAAGCAGGGUGAGCUGCCUCAAUGACUAUUGCAAAGAUGCGCUCACAUCUACUUUGACGAAGUACAUCGAGCAGAUGGACAAGGCCACAACUAAUUCCUUUCUAAGCAAGGACCUGGACCUGCUGCAAUUUGCCUACUGCCACAAUAGGCUACAGUGGAUGCAAUCUCACCGUAUCUCCACUUGGCCUUGGACCAUUGGGUCACUAGCAAUACCUAUGUUGGACUGCUGAUUGAUAAUUACAGCUCAGCAUUCUCUCUGUGUUAAUCAACAAGCUUCAAAACCUGGACCUCUAUACCUCUCUCUGCAACUGGAUCCAGGACUUACUUGUUGGGAGGCAAUAUUAAGUGUGAAUUGCAAAUACCAUCUCCUCAUUGACAAUCAGCACCGGCACACCAGAAGGAUGCGUGCUUAGCCCACUGGUCUGCUCUCUCUAUAUCCAUGACUCUAUGACUAGGCAAAGCUUAAAAACCAUCUAUAAAUUUGCCAGUGACAUAACUGUUGUUGACAGAAUCUCAGAAAGUGAUGAGAUGUACAGGAGAGAGACAGAUCAGCUGGUGGAGUGGUGUCCCAACAACAACCUUGCACACAACUUCAGUAAGACCAAGGAAUUGUUUGUGGACUUCAGGAAGGGGAAUUUGAGGGAACACACACCAGUCCUCAUUGAGGGGUCAGCAGUGGAAAGGGUGAGCAAUUCCUGAGUGUCAAUAUCUCUGACAACCUAUCCGAGGUCCAACGUACUGAUGUAAUUACAGGGAAGGUACAUCAGUGGCAAUAUUUCAAGUUCAAGUUCAAUUGUCAUUCAACUAUGCACACAUAUACAAUCAAAUGAGAUAACAUUCCUCCGGAGCCACGUGGCAAAUCACACACAGUCACACAGCACGUAUAAGACAUUUACAGUAGUUAUGAUUUCAGAAAAAAUUACAGUCACAAAAAGAUAAUACAGCCCAAGUCAGUGUCAUGGCCUGUAGAGUGAUGGUGCAUGUGAUAUUGUCAUGGAGCCAGUUUCCACAAGAACAAGCACACAGCAGUUCCUCAUUAUGCACUAGUGCAGACAUAGACCAGCGCAAUCCAGCUUUACUUCCACUGAGUGAACACUAGCGAGUAGCACCAACAGGAGAGCUGGUUGUGGGGUCCAGCUCCAGACCAGCGCAGGUAUUAGUGUGCCCGCUAUACCUUUGCUCUCUGCUACACUGCCUCCUGCGUCACUUCCCCUGGCCAGCUGUAAUAGGAGUCGUCACAGCAUGAGACCUGGUUCACACAACAACCAAGGCCAUGCAACCCCCCCUCCUGUUGGUCUCGCUAAUGAACCAAUACAGUAUUUCACUUGAUCAAUUUGAGCAGGGAUUUGCGAUUAUAAGAAAAAUGUUGGACAAUCAUUUGCACAGUUUAUUAGACCAUGCACUGCCUCUGAUGCCUUCUCCCCUGCAUGGCUGUAACAGGUGAUGAAACAGCAUGCAACAAGUCCAGUUCCCCCACUAUCCAGCAGUUCACUAGUGGGGUAGUCGUGCAGUGCUCAGUGUUCAUAGUAUCCAGCAGUGACUUGUGAUCAUAAAAAAGACAGAAAGGACAAACAAUUACACGACUGGUUCAACCCAACAGCUGUUGCAACCAAGCGUGCCGCCAUCUCAAUGGGGUUUGAGGAGAUUUUCUGUGUCACCAAAGACACUGGCAAAUUGUGACAGAUGUACCAAGGAGAGUAUUCUAACUGGUUCCAUCACUGGCAGGUAUCAAUGAAGCACAGCAUGGAUCAGAAAAAGCUGCAGAAGGUUACAAACUCAGCCAGCUUCAUUACGGGCUCCAUCCUCCCCGGAAUCAUGGAUGUCUUCAAAAGCUGAUUCCUCAUAAAGGCAACAUCCAUCAUUAAGGGGCCCCACUACCCAGGAGAUGCCCUCAUCUCACUGCUACCAUCAAUGAGGAAGUACAGGAGCCUUAAGACACAUAAUCAGUGGAGAGGAACAGCUUCUUCCCCUCCUCUCUCACCCCAUGAACUCUACUUAUCUAAUUUUGCACUACUUGUUUUCUAUAUAUAUAUAUAUAUUCAUUUUCACUCCCAGACUGAAUGCUAGACACUGCGAUGAGCAAGACAGUUGCAAAUGUUCUUACUGUUUAUUUCUCGCCAACUGUCAGUGACUGCAACUGUUCCGCUCCCCACACUUGUGCUCUCACUCCUCCCCUCAUGUCAGUGGCAAGGACAGUGACCUCACCUUCCACCGCCCCCCUCCCACCAGCUUCUACAUUUAUCCUGGGUCAUUUUCCCCAUCAUCAAUAUGAUGCCAACUGGACCUAACAUUUUUCUCAUCUCUCCAGGUGUUCAUCCUCUCUGUAGCUACCAGUCUCAAUCUACCACCUCCAUCUCUACACACUCCUCCUCUUACAAUUAUCAAUGUAGCUUCUGUGAUGCAACAUCUGCCCAAUUACUGCUUCCCAUCACCAUUUGUACUUCUUCCACAUUAGUAUGUUAAAUUUAGUUCUCACAGUAUGUUCCUCUCCAAAUUGGAAAAAAAACCUCAAACUACAGAUUUCUGAGUCUUUGCAAGAGAAAGAGGGAAGUACCAAAUAAAAUAAAUAGAUAUAGAUCAUAACUGUAGAUUUUUAAUUUGAUAAAUAAUUGGCCAGGAAUGGAGACAAUUUCUUGUUAUUGAAAAUAAUUCCCUGGGAUGUUUUAUUCUAAGUCUGGAUGCUGCAUAACUACGAGGCAACUUUUAUCCUAAAAUACAAUUUGGAUUAUUUCUCAAUGUCCAAGCCUGACAAUGUCUCAGUCUGACCAAUAUGGACCUCAGUAUACAUCACCAUAUGUUCAACAUAGCAAUCAACUAGCAUUUAUGAAUCUUUUCAUAUUAUUUAAACAUUUUGUAUGUUCCACAUGACAAUCCCAGAUGUGUUGCAUCAGAAAUGAUUCACCCGCACCUGAAUGUUCAUCACGGUGUGAAAACACAGGGAGCAUUCUGAUCCUCAGUGUCCCAGAUCGGGCUGCAGACAUAUAUUCAUUCUGUCGCAGAUUGCUGUGCCUUCAACUAAUGAGAAACAAUGAUAAGUAAGCAGUUUCUGGGCAAGGACAGUAAUUGUCUGAAGACCGGGUGGUCAAAGGGCAGUUCAGAUAUUGUUAUGAUAAGCACCCGACCAUACCAACUUCCGGUGUUUGGACACUCUGACUCUCCGGAAUAUUGAUAGCAGGUGCAGUCUUUAUUGACUCAGACCUGACCUGCUAAUUGGCGGCUAUGCCUUGAUUCUAGUCUCUGACACUCUAGUACUUGGAUCCUAACCAUCCUUGCCUAUGUCUCAUGUCACAGAUAUAUUCUGACCAAAUUGACCACUGAAAUGUUCAAGCAAUGAAUCUAUCAUGAAGCCUGAAAAUACAUUCAGCAUUCACUCAAUUGUAGAGUGAGGGAAGGGUGUUGUGAAUUGCCAUCUGUGACUCCAGUUAUUCAUUGUUCUCUCUCUAUGGCAAGAAUGUCCAUUCAUUGUUAAGAAAACAAAACUCUCCACUACCUUCCCAGUGCAGUCUUGCUAAUACUCUGUCAAUUAGCUAAAACCAUCACCUCAACUGUGGCACAGGCCACCGAGAGUAAUUCGCCAGAAUCCUCUGUCCUGAGCCGGUAUUUCAAACCAUCCACAGGUGUAACACAUCAUGGUGUAUCCGUCCUCUCCCAGUGAUGGGGACUUAGGAGUUUCUGCUGGUGUUUACAUACCUCAGUGUUUUUACAGAAUGGGAUUGCUAGAUAUAUACCAAGACUCUGUACAACUACAACUUUGUUACUCCUGAAGUUCAACGCUACCCAAUCACUUAGCGUUGAAUAAAAACACUGCUUUUCCAUUAUUGGUACUAAAAUGGAUGAUCUCCCAUUUUUCUUCAUUGUGUUCCAUUUGCCAAGUUCUUGUCAUCUCACUGAGCUGGUUUGUAAAAUCCUGUGGAUAUGUUUCCACGUGGUGAUUAAAUCAGGGUUACUUCUAUUUGUUUGAUAUAUUUACAUACUGUGUUGCCAAUUUAUGAACAGACACAGUACCAUUAAUAUUAUCAUAUUGAGAUCUUUCCUUAUUGGCACAAUUUGAUUAUUUUCAAGAACAAGAAACUAUCACAAUUCCUGCCCAAGAAUUAAUCAAAUUUUAAGACCUAUAAUCAUGAUCUACCUGCAUGAGGAAGUGGAGGGUUGGGUUAGUAAAUUUGCUGAUGACACAAAGGUCAGGGUGUUGUGGAUAGUGUGGAGGGCCGUCAGUGGUUUAAAUGGGACAUUGAUAGGAUUGAAAACUGGGUUGAGAAAAGGCAGAUGGAAUCCAACCCAGAUAAGUGUGAGGUUGUUCAUUUUGGUAGGUCAAAUAUGAUGGCAAAAUAUAGUAUAAAUGGUAACACUCUUGGAAGUGUGGAGUAUCAGAGGGAUCUUGUGGUCCAUAGGACACUCAAAGCUGCUACACUGGUUAACUCUGCGGUUUAGAAGGCAUACAGUGCAUUUGCCUUCAUCAAUCGUGGGAUUGAGUUUAGGAACUGAGAUGUAAUGUUGCUGCUAUAUAGGACCCUGGUCAGACCCCACUUGGCGUACUGUGCUGACCUCACUACAGGAAGGAUGUGGAAACCAAAUAAAAGGUGCAGAGAAGAUUUAUAAGGAUGUUGCCUGGAUUGGGGAACAUGCCUUAUGAGAAUAGGGUGAUUGAACAUGUCCUUUUCUCCUUGGAGCGAAGAAGGAUGAGAGGUGACCUGACAGAGGUGUAUAAAAUGAUGAGGGGCAUUGAUUGUAUGGAUAGUCAAAGGCUUUUUCCCAGGACUGAAAUGGCUAGCAAGAGAGGGCACAGUUUUAAAGUGCUUGGAGGUAGGUACAGAUAAGAUGUCAAGGGUAAGUUUUUCAUGCAGAGAGUAGUGAGUGCAUGGAAUGGACUACCAGCAACAGUGGUGGAAGCAGAUAUAAUAGGGUCUUUUAAGAGAUUCCUGGAUAGGUACAUGGAACUUUGAAAAAUAGAGGGCUAUGUGUAACCCUAGGUGAUAUCUAAGCUAAGGACAUGGUCAGCACAGCUUUGUGGGCUGAAGGGCCUGUAUUGUGCUGUCGGUUUUCUCUGCUUCCAUGUUUCUACAAUGUGAAAAAAAUUUAAAGGUUAUCCAUUCUGGUGCAAUUAAUAGAAAAGUGAAUUAUUUAUUAAAUGGAGAGUGCUUAGGUACUGUUAAAGUUUAUAGAGACCAAGGUUUGAUGUAGGUGAAAGGAUGUACUUGCCACAGUCACAGUGCAAUAAUGAUUCAGGAUUGGUAGUGUUUCUAAAUGAGAAGAUAUUGAGUAGACUGGGAUUUUACUUUCUUCAGCUUCAACAAAACAUUACAAAAUCCUUCCAGAACUUGGCAGAAAAAAUGUAAGGAGAGUGUUUACCCUGCCUGAGGAACCUCGGGCAGCCUGACCUUACAUGAGAAACAAGAGAAAAUCUGCUGAUGCUGGAAAUACAAACAGUGCACACAAAAUGCUGGAGGUACUCCGCAAGGCAGGUAGCAUCUAUGGAAAAGAGUACAAUUGAUGGGUUGGGGCAAUACCUUUCACCAGAACUGAACAUACAGUAAGAGCAUUAAAUAUAGGAGCAGAAUUAGGCCAUUCAGCCCAUUGAAUGUACUUCACCAUUCUAUCAUGGCUGAUCCCAGUUACCACUCAAUCCUAUACACCUGCCUGCUCACCGUAUACUUUGAUGCUGACUGAUGAGGAAGCAAUCAACAUCCCACUUAAAUAUACACACAGACUUGGCAGAGCAUUCAACAGAUUUACUACUCUCCAGAUUAAAAAAAAUUCCUCCUUACCUCUGUUCUAAAGGGUCACCUCUCAAUCCUGAGGCUGUGCCCUAUAGUUCUGGAUACUCCCACCACAGGAAACAUCUGCUCCACAUCCACCCUAUCUAGUCCUUUCAACAUUCUGUGGGUUUCAAUGAUAUCUUCCUACAUUUUUCUGAAUUCCAGUGAAUACAGUCCCAAAGCUGCCAAAAGCUCCUCACAUGUUAACCCCUCGAAUCCCAAAAUCAACCCCAUGAACCUCCUCUGGAAUCUCUCCAAUGACAAAUACUUUCUGAGAUAUGGGGCCCAAAACUGUAGACAAUACUCUAUGUGUGGCCUGAUUAGUGUCUUAUAAAGGCUCAGCAUGAGAAGAUCUUUCUGUGGUGUCAAAGCUUUAGGUUGUAGAUGCCCAUUCUUUGUAUUUGUACAAAACACAGAUUAAUAGAUGUCUGGAUAUACAGUUGAAAUAUGCAGGAUAUACAGGACAAUGGUGGAAAUGGCACUGAGGUAGAUGAUCAAUCACAUUGAUAAUGAAUGGUGGAACAGCCAGGAAUGCCCAAUGGACAACUCCUGCUUCUAUUGGGUAUGCUCCAUGACAAAAGCAGUCACACUGUUAUUGACACCCUAAGCUCAUUGUUUUGUGUUGUAUAUCUGAUGCAACACACAAAACAUUCCUCUCCACAGAAUCUCAGACAACGCUGGUACGAAGGUGAAGCAACUCUGAGGGGCCAAAGGGUACAAAGUCACCCCUCCUUUUUGAGAAUGGCAAGAUCGCUAUUAUUUCAGGUCUGAGACCCAGGAAAUGAGAGAGAGACACCCAGAAUACACCAGGUUUGGAAUGUGUCCUGACAUCAGCGGAACGGAACCACUGAUAACUGCCAUUGUCUCUUGGAGACGGAAUUGUGUAUUGAGUACUGUACUAUUCAUUGAAACCCCUCAGGGGACAACCAGAGGGGGCUGGUUGAGGGAUUGCAUCAUCCCAACCUGACUGACAUCUGAGACCCCGUGAGUAAGGAUAUAAGAGGGGUCUGGGAAACAACCCCAUCAGACGCACCAGGAGAAACGCUAGAGAUCCCGUGACAGCGUUUAAUAGCGAAAGACCUGAAGGAUCGAAAUCAUAAAGGAAAGUUGGAAGAAUCCGUAGCAGUAAAUUCUCAUUCUCUCUCUCUCUCUCUCUCUCUCUCUCUCUCUCUCUCUCUCUCUCCUGUAUAUUUGCAUUGAUAUUAUUUUUGUGUAUUUUUACUAAUAAAUACUGUUAAAAAUAGUA